rnacentral:rRNA from 1 species
GAUGAACGCUGGCGGCGUGCCUAAUACAUGCAAGUCGAGCGAACAGACGAGGAGCUUGCUCCUUUGACGUUAGCGGCGGACGGGUGAGUAACACGUGGAUAACCUACCUAUAAGACUGGUAUAACUUCGGGAAACCGGAGCUAAUACCGGAUAAUAUAUUGAACCGCAUGGUUCAAUAGUGAAAUACGGUUUUGCUGUCACUUAUAGAUGGAUCUCCGCCGCAUUAGCUAGUUGGUAAGGUAACGGCCUAUCACGGGAACGAUGCGUAGACGACGUGAGAGGGUGGUCGGCCACACGAGAACUGGACCGCGGACCAUGGUCCUGAGGGAGGCAGCAGUAGGGAAUGUUCCGCAAUGGGCGGGAACUUGGCGGAGCGAGGCCACGUGAGUGAUAACGGUCUUCGGAUCGUAAAACUGUGUUAUUAGGUGAAAACAAAUGUGUAAGUAGAUAUGCACGUCUUGACGGUACCUAGUCAGGAAGCCACGGCUAACUACGUG